AAAUUUCUCAGUCUGUUCCGAUGAAGAAACAAACUCAUCUACAUCUCGGAUGACCCGAGGAUAUAGAAAGCACUGUACUUGGUGAUGGAGGAGGGGAAGAUGCAGACAGACAGCAGGCAAGAUGAGAAAUAGCAAGAUGACACAAGAAGAUGGAAAAGAAGCCUGACUGACAGAAACCUUCAAAGACGUACCUAUGCGAUCAAGGUGGAGGCCGUGUCCUGCCGCGAGCAAGUCAACAGAGACACAUUAACAUGCAUCGCGACCUCAACCAGAGGUGUCAUCGACCAGUGGAAGCCUACAUGUGGGUGAGAUCUAGCAAGGCCACCUCUAAACUCAAACCAGCCCCUCCCCUUUGCACCUUAGACAUCUGUGAUUGGUCUUCUUUUGCUUUUUUGCUGUCUUUCUUUCACCAUUUUUUUUCUAGAAAUCAAGUGCAUCUGUGCUGUUGACUUAUUUGUCUUUUGAAACCUUUCCUGAUAGAUGCAAAGAUAUAUGACCUGGUAAUGCUCAGAAAGUUGAUUAAUUAUGAGAUUUCCAAGAAAACUACUUUUGUUUUAAACAUUUUGAUAAGAGAAAUUGAAAAUGAAACACCUUGAAUAUAAUACGUUUUUCACAUUAGAAAUAGCACCUGAGAACAUGACAAAAAUUACAGUACAUGUUCACUUAUAAGUGAAACCGUGAUAAAACAGAAUAAAUAUGAUUUCAAUUAUCCUAAAUUGUGAGUUAAAUAUUUUAUCUGAUACAUUAAGACAUUUAUGAUGGGGACAUGAAGAUGUACUGCAACUAAUAUUCAACUACAAGUUGUAAAUAAAACAGGAUUUCUGAGUAUGUUUUACAAGAGAACAUGCUCAAUUUUCAAGCAAUGUCUAAAUGAAAAUUGUUGCAAAGUAAAUUUUAUUUAAAAUUUUUUUUUCAGUGUAAAAUUCGGUUGUCCAUCUUAUUCUUUAAAGUGGUAAAGAUAAAUAGAUUCGUCAUGUGAGUGAGGUAAGCAACCACUUAUACGUGUUGGUGUUAUUGAACAGGACAAGAUUAACAAGCUUCUUCGAAACUUAUCUAGAACAGAAUAGUGGAAACACUCUUUCCUCCAACUAUUUGCUAAUAGCCUACCUUUGCCUUAAAAGGCACAAAUGUUUUUUGUGCCAAUUUUUUAUGCAACUGCCCACACUUACAUAAAAAAAAAAAAAAAAAAAAAAAAAUCAUGUUAUGGAAAACAGCCAGUUUAACACAACGAAAACUGUCACUCUGGCCACAAAUGAAACUCUCUCUCUCUCUCUCUCUCUCUCUCUCUCUC